rnacentral:rRNA from 1 species
AACCCUGAUGCAGCCAUGCCGCGUGUGUGAAGAAGGCCUUCGGGUUGUAAAGCACUUUCAGUAGGGAGGAAGGUAGUGUAGUUAACACCUGCACUAUUUGACGUUACCUACAGAAGAAGCACCGGCUAACUCCGUGCCAGCAGCCGCGGUAAUACGGAGGGUGCGAGCGUUAAUCGGAAUUACUGGGCGUAAAGCGCAUGCAGGCGGCCUGUUAAGUCAGAUGUGAAAGCCCGGGGCUUAACCUCGGAAUUGCAUUUGAAACUGGCAGGCUAGAGUCUUGUAGAGGGGGGUAGAAUUUCAGGUGUAGCGGUGAAAUGCGUAGAGAUCUGAAGGAAUACCAGUGGCGAAGGCGGCCCCCUGGACAAAGACUGACGCUCAGAUGCGAAAGCGUGGGGAGCAAACAGGAUUAGAUACCCUGGUAGUCCACGCCGUAAACGAUGUCUACUUGGAGGUUGUGGCCUUGAGCCGUGGCUUUCGGAGCUAACGCGUUAAGUAGACCGCCUGGGGAGUACGGUCGCAAGAUUAAAACUCAAAUGAAUUGACGGGGGCCCGCACAAGCGGUGGAGCAUGUGGUUUAAUUCGAUGCAACGCGAAGAACCUUACCUACUCUUGACAUCCAGUGAAGCUUGAAGAGAUUCGAGUGUGCCUUCGGGAACUCU